AAGUAAAAGUCGUAACAAGGUUUCCGUAGGUGAACCUGCGGAAGGAUUAUUAUUGUACAACGGAGGUUUGAGGGCUGUCGCUGACCUUCAAAGGUCGUGCACGCCCAAGCACUUUCAUACAAUCCAUCUCACCCCUUUGUGCAUCACCGCGUGGGUCCCCCUUGCGGGAGGGCUCGCGUUUUCACAUAAAACUCGAUACAGUGUAGAAUGUUCUUUUGCGAUCACACGCAAUCAAUACAACUUUCAACAACGGAUCUCUUGGCUCUCGCAUCGAUGAAGAACGCUGC
rnacentral:misc_RNA from 1 species